rnacentral:tRNA from 1 species
GGAGGGUUGGCAGAGCGGCUAAAUGCGGUGGUUUCGAAAACCACUCUCCCUUACGGGAGGCAGAGGUUCGAAUCCUCUACCCUCCG